rfam:Salmo salar isolate Sally breed double haploid chromosome ssa09, whole genome shotgun sequence.
CUCCCUGUAGCUCAGUUGGUAGAGCAUGGUGUUUGCAACGCCAGGGUUGUGGGUUCGAUUCCCACGGGGGGC